UUACACGGCCCGUACCCCAAACCGACACAGGUGAUCAGGUAGAGAAUACCAAGGCGAUCGAGAGAACUGUGGUUAAGGAACUCGGCAAAAUGCCCCCGUAACUUCGGGAGAAGGGGGACCAUGCCCGGUGAACAUCUUCACGGUGGGAGCUGGGUGUGGUCGCAGAGACCAGAGAGAAGCGACUGUUUACUAAAAACACAGGUCCGUGCGAAGACGUAAGUCGAUGUAUACGGACUGACGCCUGCCCGGUGCUGGAAGGUUAAGAGGACCGGUUAGCCGUAAGGCGAAGCUGAGAAUUUAAGCCCCAGUAAACGGCGGUGGUAACUAUAACCAUCCUAAGGUAGCGAAAUUCCUUGUCGGGUAAGUUCCGACCUGCACGAAUGGCGUAACGACUUCUCUGCUGUCUCGACCACAGACUCGGCGAAAUUGCACUACGAGUAAAGAUGCUCGUUACGCGCGGCAGGACGAAAAGACCCCGGGACCUUUACUAUAGCUUGGUAUUGGCGUUCGAUUCGGUUUGUGUAGGAUAGGUGGGAGACUGUGAAGCAUGCACGCCAGUGUGUGUGGAGUCGUUGUUGGAAUACCACUCUGAUCGUAUUGGACGUCUAACCUCGGCCCAUGAUCUGGGUUAGGGACAGUGCCUGGUGGGUAGUUUAACUGGGGCGGUUGCCUCCUAAAGAGUAACGGAGGCGCCCAAAGGUUCCCUCAGCCUGGAUGGCAAUCAGGUGUUGAGUGCAAGUGCACAAGGGAGCUUGACUGUGAGACUGACACGUCGAGCAGGGACGAAAGUCGGGACUAGUGAUCCGGCACCGGCAAGUGGAAGCGGUGUCGCUCAACGGAUAAAAGGUACCCCGGGGAUAACAGGCUGAUCUUCCCCAAGAGUCCAUAUCGACGGGAUGGUUUGGCACCUCGAUGUCGGCUCGUCGCAUCCUGGGGCUGGAGUAGGUCCCAAGGGUUGGGCUGUUCGCCCAUUAAAGCGGCACGCGAGCUGGGUUUAGAACGUCGUGAGACAGUUCGGUCUCUAUCCGCCGCGCGCGUAAGAAACUUGAGGAAGGCUGUCCCUAGUACGAGAGGACCGGGACGGACGAACCUCUGGUGUGCCAGUUGUUCCACCAGGAGCAUGGCUGGUUAGCUACGUUCGGAAGGGAUAACCGCUGAAAGCAUCUAAGCGGGAAGCCUGUUCCAAGAUGAGGUUUCUCACCACCUUGCGUGGUUAAGGCCCCCUACAGACCAUGGGGUUGAUAGGCCGGAACUGGAAGCGCAGCAAUGCGUGGAGGUGACCGGUACUAAUAGGCCGAGGGCUU
rnacentral:rRNA from 1 species